rnacentral:rRNA from 1 species
CCUACGGGGGGCUGCAGUGGGGGAUAUUGCACAAUGGAGGAAACUCUGAUGCAGCAACGCCGCGUGAGCGAAGAAGGCCUUCGGAUUGUAAACCUCUGUCCUCAGGGACGAUAACGAAGGUAACCGAGGAGGAAGCCCCGGCCAACCUCGUGCCAGGAGCCGGGGGAAAUCGUAGGGAGCCAGCGUUGUCCGGAAUUAACGGGUGUUAAGGGUGCGUAGGCGGCCCUGUAAGUCAAGUGUGGAAACGAUAGGCCUAACCCGUAGUUAGCAUUUGAAACUGUGGGGCUUGAGUGCAGUAGAGGCGAGCGGAAUUCCCGGUGUAGCGGUGAAAUGCGUAGAGAUCGGGAAGAACACCAGUGGCGAAGGCGGCCUGCUGGACUGUAACUGACGCUGAGGCACGAAAGCGUGGGUAGCGAACAGGAUUAGAUACCCCUGUAGUC